rnacentral:rRNA from 1 species
UAGUCCACGCCGUAAACGAUGAGUGCUAGUUGUUGGGCCUUGAGCUCGGUGACGUAGUUAACGCGUUAAGCACUCCGCCUGGGGAGUACGGUCGCAAGAUUAAAACUCAAAGGAAUUGACGGGGACCCGCACAAGCGGUGGAGCAUGUGGUUUAAUUCGAGGCAACGCGAAGAACCUUACCAGUCCUUGACAUCCCGAUCGCGAUUAAUGGAGACAUUUUUCUUCAGUUCGGCUGGAUCGGUGACAGGUGCUGCAUGGUUGUCGUCAGCUCGUGUCGUGAGAUGUUGGGUUAAGUCCCGCAACGAGCGCAACCCUCGUUCUUAGUUGCCAUCAUUAAGUUGGGCACUUUAGGAAGACUGCCGGUGACAAACCGGAGGAAGGUGGGGAUGACGUCAAGUCAGCAUGCCCCUUACACUCUGGGCUACACACGUACUACAAUGGUUGGGACAAAGGGCAGCAAGCGAGCAAUCGCAAGCGAAUCUCAUCAAACCCAGCCUCAGUUCAGA